GUUAUUCCCUGAAGAAAGUUGUAUCAUAUUGGAGGAAAAUAUGCAUCUAUAAAAGGAGAAAAAUUCUGUUUUAAAAUAUGUGCCAGCCAUUGCACAGAGGUCCAGAGAAAUGCCUACAAAUUUCACAGACUUCUGAACUGAACUUCUGAACUGAUAAUUCUGCUAGCCUGUUUUGCUUCCUCUAUUUCAUAUAGUUAGAUACCAAUGAUACAUAUGGGAAUGGAAGGGGAAGAGAUAUAUACCGCUGUGUUUUGAGUCCAGAUACACAGUUUAUAAUUCAAAUCAAGCUAAAAUAAUUCCAUAAUAUGGGAAAGAAAAAGAAAACAACUACAGAUGAGAACUGAGAUCUUUAAAGCCUUCUUUCUGUCAUCUUUCCUGUGCGCAAUUGCUGUAAAUGAGAUCAUCAAGAAUAAUGAACCACUAAAUUGCAGCCUGAAGCAGCAAAACUGCUCCUAAACAUAGUGUUUACCUCUGAAGUAUGUUUAUAAAACAUCAACACCAAAGUUGAUAGUACUAGGAAAAUGAUAUCAAGGUAAAGACUUAACAUUCUGGAGCAAUGGGUAGAUAUAAUUAUAAUGUUAACAUAACAAUUUCAAACAAUCUCUAAGAUCACUAAGUGCAAUCUGACUGACUUAUUAAAGAUAAUUUUUAUGAAUCCAUUUCUUAGAAGAGAAAAAUUGCAAGUCUUUAUCUUAUUCAUUGAUUACAGAUGGUAACAAAAGCAACAAGAAGAUUCAUGCAUAUGAGAAAAAAAAUCAGUGGAAAAACGUUUUACUUAUCAUAACUCGUUGAGAUAAGAAAUUGGCAUGUUUAAUAUAAAUCAUAAAAGGGAUAUUACAAUGGUUAUGUUGUCCCUCAGAAACAAAUGCUUUCAUAUGGAAAAUUGAUGUUUUACAGAAAUUCAUAAUGGAUAAAUAAUUUGAAUUCUAAACCUGUACCCAGUACUGUAUCUAACAAGAUAAGCCAUUACACUUAUUUCACUUAUUCAUGAAAUUAUAAUCAUGGUGUUUCUGGAUUCUAGUUUUAUAAUAUUGUUUAAAUUUAAAUACUUGCAAAUCUGUUGGAAUAAUCAUAACUUUCUCAUAGCAGGAUUACACAGUGAAGUUCAAAUGGUGCUUCUAUAAAACAUCAGUACCAUCUAAAUACUCUGAAGUGUAAUAUCUUUUUCUGUCCUAUGUUGGAUGUAAUAUGUAUAUUUUCAUGGUGCAACACAGACCAAAUUUUAAUUCUCAAAUUUCAUUUCUACUGAAAUCAGUAGAUACACACUGAAGUAACAAGACAUUGGUCUGAGAUCAUAAAAUAUAAUUGUAACAUACUGCCAUUGACAAAUGUGAAAUUUUCCUUUGUAAAAAUAAUUUUUUCUUAACUGUAUAGAAAUAAAUUACUGCACAAAAUACAGAGCAGUAAAGAAUUCAUGACUGUGUGAAAAUAUAGCCCAUUACAAUUAUGUCAAUGUAUAUUUGUCUUUAUACAUAGCAAAUAAAUAUUUAAUGAAUGUGUUACAUUUGUCAGUUUAAUAUAAACUGUGAGUUAUACAUAUUAGUAGAAUAUAAAGAAUUUUUUAAUAAGUCACAGUAGUCCGUGCAAUAAAUUUUAAAGAUGGUUGUAUUGCCUUUUGAUUUUUGAAUGACAUGUAUCACACUGAGCAGAAUCUUAAAUGUAUGUAUGAUUUUAACUAUUAUUCCUUUAAA